UACGGAGGAUGCGAGCGUUAUCCGGCUUUAUUGGGUUUAAAGGGUGCGCAGGCGGUCUGUUAAGUCAGCGGUCAAAGCCCGGGGCUCAACCCCGGCCCGCCGUUGAAACUGGCGGCCUCGAGUGGGCGAGAAGUAUGCGGAAUGCGUGGUGUAGCGGUGAAAUGCAUAGAUAUCACGCAGAACUCCGAUUGCGAAGGCAGCAUACCGGCGCCCAACUGACGCUCAGGCACGAAAGCGUGGGGAGCAAACAGG
rnacentral:rRNA from 1 species